rnacentral:tRNA from 1 species
GAUGAUAGUGUAAAGGGCUGUAAACUCUUUUUUGUGUGUCGUCG